GCGGAUGUGGCGGAAUUGGUAGACGCGCUAGAUUUAGGUUCUAGUUUCGCAAGAAGUGGGGGUUCAAGUCCCUUCAUCCGCA
rnacentral:tRNA from 3 species